UGCUAACACACAAUGCACUGACCUGACCUCACAGAAAGAAAAUGGAACAACAGAGGUCCCAUCCUUCCAAAUGUCAUCCACUGGUCUUAUCCUUAUGGAAAUAGACAGUACACGGAUCUGGAAUGGAAGCAAAUAAUAACCGGGUCUCCAGAUUCCAUCGUAUCACAGAACAUAGAACCAAGAAAGUACCUUAGAAGUCAUCUGAUCCAGUCACCCCUGUUUUACCAAUGAGGAAUCUAGACCCAGAAGAAGUUAAAGGACUUACCCAAGAGUACCCAACAACUCUCUCACCACCCCAGGCUCCCAUCUUUGUGUCUCUCCUGUGUGAGCUGUUCCCUGAAGUUCUUCCUGAACUUGCACAUUGCCUUUCCCUUUGAUUUUAAAUCCUUGGCUCAAAUGACAUGCCCGGACUAUAUCGUGUGAUAUGAGCUUGAAAAGUAAUUUACGUACAAGUCUUGAAAGCAAAUCAAGUUUUAAAACAAAGUAGCAUCUACUCUGCCCCAGCCUUGACAUCUUAUUACAUAGCAAAUGCUGGCUUUUUAAUUUCCCUAAUCAAGACUGGUCCUAUUUAGCCCACCUCCUCAAGGGGUCCCAGCACUAGCCCCACUCCGACGCCUGAUGAAGUUCCAGAACAGUGGAAUCAAGCACAGAGAUGGGCACGCCUCUUUACAGAACCAAAGAUUCAGAACUGUGCCUUACCCUUUGCUUAUGAGGCGGAGGAGGAGGAAGAGAAAGAACCACCGCAAAGAGAGAUGGCAACAAAGUUUCCUCUCAUACGUGUGAAUGUGCUCAGCUAAGCCCAUUCUUCCUCCGCUGGGUCCUUCUUUACCCGCAUAUGAGAUCAGUACCGACAGACCUUGUGGGGAGGCAACUUUCUAGGAUGGGUCAUCUUCUGAGGCCCCCAGGAUUAACCAGCAUACCCAGAAUUAACCAUUAAACAGGAUUAACCAUCAUCCUUCUCUCUUUCCUUUACUCUGGGCUCCACACGUUUCCUCUCUUGGGCCUUUUCCAUGGCAAGUUUGUCCCAGGGAAACUCAUGCCUGGAAUGGUAGCUCUACGACCUGGUCUUUCUGUGGCGUUUUCCUGUUGCCCACGGAAGUUGGGGACUGGGUUCAGUUUCU
rnacentral:lncRNA from 1 species